rnacentral:rRNA from 1 species
AUUGAACGCUGGCGGCAGGCCUAACACAUGCAAGUCGAGCGGCGCGGCAGACGGGUGAGUAAUGCCUAGGAAUCUGCAUGGUCGUGGGGGAUAGCGUCAGGAAACGGGCGCUAAUACCGCAUACUAUCAGAUGAGCCUAGGUCGUAUUAGCUAGUUGGUGGGGGAAAGGCCUACCAAGGCGACGAUCCGUAACUGGUCUGAGAGGAUGAUCAUUCACACUGGAACUGAGACACGGUCCAGACUCCUACGGGAGGCAGCAGUGGGGAAUAUUGGACAAUGGGCGAAAGCCUGAUGCAGCCAUGCCGCGUGUGUGAAGAAGGUCUUCGGAUUGUAAAGCACUUUAAGUUGGGAGGCGUUACCAACAGAAUAAGCACCGGCUAACUUCGUGCCAGCAGCCGCGGUAAUUC